AUCCUGGCUCAGGACGAACGCUGGCGGCGUGCCUAAUACAUGCAAGUCGAACGCUUUUUCUUUCACCGGAGCUUGCUCCACCGAAAGAAAAAGAGUGGCGAACGGGUGAGUAACACGUGGGUAACCUGCCCAUCAGAAGGGGAUAACACUUGGAAACAGGUGCUAAUACCGUAUAACACUAUUUUCCGCAUGGAAGAAAGUUGAAAGGCGCUUUUGCGUCACUGAUGGAUGGACCCGCGGUGCAUUAGCUAGUUGGUGAGGUAACGGCUCACCAAGGCAACGAUGCAUAGCCGACCUGAGAGGGUGAUCGGCCACACUGGGACUGAGACACGGCCCAGACUCCUACGGGAGGCAGCAGUAGGGAAUCUUCGGCAAUGGACGAAAGUCUGACCGAGCAACGCCGCGUGAGUGAAGAAGGUUUUCGGAUCGUAAAACUCUGUUGUUAGAGAAGAACAAGGAUAGAGUAAAAU
rnacentral:rRNA from 1 species